rnacentral:lncRNA from 1 species
AAGGAGGGUAUUUCCCAGCUAGACCAAAUAAAUCUAGAAUCUCCUUCCUCUGAACCUGAGUGCCAUCUUUUUUUCUGCAGCAGAGCCAUGAAUGACCUCGGAUUGGAAUGAUUUGGAGGAAGAGGUGGACAAAGGUUAGAUUGCACUAGUGUCUUCCCUGUUAACAUUCCUUUCAGGUCUCAGCAGCAUCUUAACAGAAAGUAGCUCUGGGAGUUAUUUCCCAAACCUAUCCAAGGUGGCCUUAGACUGAUACAUUGUUUGAAAGUUUCAGUUUAAGAUAAAAAAAUGGUCCCCCCAUGUCCAGACUUUAAUCUCCUCAUCCCCACAAGGCUUAUUUCAGAAGCACCCACCCCUGCAUCUAGGUGAGGGGAGCCCAGGGAAAGCAAUUCCAAUAGCAUGUGUCCCACAGGCAUCAUGGCAGAGUCAUGGAGCCAGCCUGGGACAGUGGAGCCAACUCAAGUUCACCUCGAGUCCCGUUGGCCAGGCUGGUCUCAAAACUCCUGACCUCAGGUGAUCUGCCCGCCUUGGCCUCCCAAAAUGUUGGGAUUACAGGUGUGAACCACCAUGCCCGGCCAGAAGUCUCAGAAGUUGCUUUCUUCUAGAGGUACCAACUGUGAGACAGAGCUGGCAACCCCUGUGCUGUGGGUGGACAAAAUGACUGGGCCCACCACAGCAAGGGUGUGUUUGUAGUUUUAUGACCAGAUUUCACAUAAGCCUGUGCUCACAGCACAUGUAUCGCAAAACACAGGAGCUGUGUGUAAGGGUGCGUUCUUAUUCUGAGCUGUGUGGCCAAGCUGCUGCGUGGGGUCGGGGGAGCUCCCUAUAAAGUACAUGAUGUGAGCAUUGGUGGAGAUGAACUAAGCUAACCGGGAUCUCCAAUGUCUCAAAGACAGCAUGUGUCCCACAGGCGUCAUGGCAGACUCAUGGAGCCAGCCUGGGACAGUGGAGCCAACUCAAGUUCACCUCAAGUCCCCAGCUCUGCUACCGGCCAGCUCUGUGGCCUUGAGAAACAUCAGCCUUUCUGGAUUCAGUUUCCUUCUCUGAAAAGUUCCUGACUUCUACUCUGCAACAUCAGAAGCAAGAGGAGGGAAGGCCUGUCUCAGGCAAUGUAGGCAAUGUCUUCCAGUUCCAGUAAACAGGUUCUGACACCCGAGGCAGAGGGAUAGGGAAGAUUCACUUCAGCUCCUUCCUGGCCCUGCAAUUGCUGCCCAUGAAUCCAAGAAUGGCUCUAUCAGAGCUGACUGAGUGCCUUCUAUUUCCUCCUCGGAACUAAAGGGCACUUUCAUUUCUAGCAUCAUAAAGUGCUUAUUUCGGAUGUGCCAACCAAUGAGCACAUCUAUCUGCACUGUUGUCCACAGCUCCUGCUAGACUGAACUAUUUGCAACACAUGGGAUCCAAACUCUUUGAGUCAGUGUGUUAGAAUGUGCACACAGCUGCACCAUGGCCAACCAGUGGACAAAGGAUCUCAAAGUGGGUAUUUUGGCCUGGAUGGUUUCAAAUAAUUAACAGUGAAUAUCUUUUUUUUUGAGAUGGAGUUUCGCUCUUGUUGCCCAGGCUGGAGUGCAAUGGUACAAUCUCGGCUCACCGCAACCUCUGUCUCCUGGGUCCAAGCGAUUCUCCUGCCUCAGGCUCUGGAGUAGCUGGGGUUGCAGGCAUGCACCACCACACCCAGCUAAUUUUGUAUUUUUAGUAGAGAUGGGGUUUCUCCAUGUUGGUCAGGCUGGUCUCGAAUUCCCGACCUCAGGUGAUCCGCCCGCUUCGGCCUCCCAAGGUGCUGGGAUUACAGACGUGAGCCACCAUGCCCAGCCAACAGUGAAUAUCUUGAUUUUGCCUCUAUGUAGAAAAUCUUUAAGCAAUGGCCCUUUUCACCACCUUUUCAAUCCAUUUGAAGCCAGAGGCUUGGGUCAGUCUUAAGACACUGAAAUGGACAGUCCUUUUUGACGUAGUUUUGUUUAUACAUUACCUGAUUCUUUGGCCUACCUCUACACCACAGAGGAAUAUUCGGAUUGUUACCUUGUUAGGAGACAAACAGCCAAAGGAAAAAUAUUGAAAACCUCUGUUCCAUCAUCUAUGUAUGUAAGAACUAGAACCAGUGACUGCUUUGUUCUCUUCUUCUAUUAAAAACUAUGGGAAUCAGUAACAAACAAGCUUAGAAAAUGCAAGCUUCUGCUUUACCCAAGCAAAAGAUAUGGCCAGAAGCUAUACCAGCGUUAUGUCCCAUAAAAGAAAAAAAGCUGGCCAGGCACAGUGGCCAUGCCUAUAAUCCCAGCACUUUGGGAGGCCAAGGCGGGUGGAUCACUUGAGGCCAGGAGUUGGAGAUCAGCCUGGCCAACAUGGUGAAACCCUGG